UCAGAAAUCCAAGGCUACUGAUGGACUCAGGACGACGAGAUCUUCGAGAUAGGACCGGUCUCGCUCUGAUCGGACACCAUUUGAAAAAGGCGAUAAUCAGACGAGCCAAAUCGUUUUGUGCAAUCGGAUCGAGGAUAACUCACCAGCGUAGGGACCGCAUUUUCAGCCAGAUCCGACUGCCCGACGGCCCGUCUCAGAACGUGGUCGAUAUUAUAGUCAAUCCUAGCAUUUUCAGACAUUCUGGAUGUGUUUCAGGUGUCAGAAUUGACAUAGGUGAUCGAUGUUAGCUAUUUUCCUGCAUCCAGCAGCCACAAUAAUCAUCGGUGUACUCAGUGUGCGUGAGUUGGCGUGCGUGUGGUAUGGUGUUGGCUAUGGACAGGACGGGUAGACACGGCUUGAGAUCUUCGCUGGGACCCGGUCCUUCGGGGUAGACACGGCUUGAGUUCUUCGCUGGGACCCCGAUUUGGUUUAUUAAGUGAAAGUCCGGCUUGAGUUCUUCGCUGGCACAGGUUAGAUUAAGAGGGAUGUAUAGGAGAUCAGCUCCCAUAUAUGUAUUGUUUGACAGUGUUGGGUGUGUGAGUGCUCCAAAUUGCCUUUUUGAUGUGAUUUGUAUAAAAUUUAUGACGAUGUUGCAUUUCACUUCACAGGGUACAUUAGCUUUAGAUAGCUAUAGAGAUUAUGAUUAAAAUUGAUAUUUUACUCUCUGAGUCGAACG